AUUGAACGCUGGCGGCAGGCCUAACACAUGCAAGUCGAGCGGAUGAAGGGAGCUUGCUCCUGGAUUCAGCGGCGGACGGGUGAGUAAUGCCUAGGAAUCUGCCUGGUAGUGGGGGAUAACGUCCGGAAACGGGCGCUAAUACCGCAUACGUCCUGAGGGGGAAAGUGGGGGAUCUUCGGACCUCACGCUAUCAGAUGAGCCUAGGUCGGAUUAGCUAGUUGGUGGGGUAAAGGCCUACCAAGGCGACGAUCCGUAACUGGUCUGAGAGGAUGAUCAGUCACACUGGAACUGAGACACGGUCCAGACUCCUACGGGAGGCAGCAGUGGGGAAUAUUGGACAAUGGGCGAAAGCCUGAUACAGCCAUGCCGCGUGUGUGAAGAAGGUCUUCGGAUUGUAAAGCACUUUAAGUUGGGAGGAAGGGCAGUAAGUUAAUACCUUGCUGUUUUGACGUUACCAACAGAAUAAGCACCGGCUAACUUCGUG
rnacentral:rRNA from 1 species